UACCUGCAGCUCGAGUGGUGAUCGUUAUUAUUGGGCCUAAAACGUCCGUAGCCGGUCUUAUAAAUGCCUGGGUAAAUCGUAUGGCUUAACCAUACGAAUUCCGGGUAGACUGUUUGACUUGAGACCGGGAGAAGCUAGAGGUACUCCUUGGGUAGAGGUGAAAUUCUGUAAUCCUAGGGGGACCACCAAUGGCGAAGGCGUCUAGCUAGAACGGGUCUGACGGUGAGGGACGAAGCCCUGGGGCGCAAACGGGAUUAGAUACCCCGGUAGUCCAGGGUGUAAACGCUGCUUGCUUGAUGUUAGUCUGGCUCCGAGCCAGAUUAGUGUCGGAGAGAAGUUGUUAAGCAAGCUGCCUGGGAAGUACGGCCGCAAGACUGAAACUUAAGGAAUUGGCGGGGGAGCACAGCAACGGGUGGAGCGUGCGGUUU
rnacentral:rRNA from 1 species